GCGGGCGCAGGAGGCCGCCCGCGAUGCCCGCUGGAAUAGAGGGCAGAAGUAAUUACUAGGAGUGCGAAACGCGGCCCAUCCUUAGCGCAGAACCGGGCGACUGCCCGGGGCACAGCAGACCGCUCCCACCGCGGCCUUGUCUCCCGGCUCUGCCUCUUGGAGGCUUUGGCUGAAAAUCUGAGACAAUCUCAUCCCACAUCCUGUGACGUGGGCAACGGAGUCUGAGGAGGAGGAAGACAUGAAGGAGGGGAAUACACUUACAUUUUUCUGCACAAUUUGCCUAGGACUCUAGGGUCUGCCUGAGCCCCUGUAAACAAUCUUCAAGUGGUGACUUCGGCUUAUUGGCUUGUUUGGACUGUGGCUGCCUGAACUGACCUGGAGCUGGUGCUGACGGGCCCUAAUGAGGGAGCUUUGUCUCUUUGUAUCAUCGGUAGUGGAUUUGCAGCCCCACUAAGUCAGUCUACCUCUUUCCUGCUUAGUAUUAGAGAUACUUUGUUUUCUAUCAGUUGCUGUCUAGUAUUCUUUCAAAAUGAGCUUAAAUAUUUAGCACCUAAGUCUGGGUGUUAUUUUCUCCUCUAAGUUACGUCCCUUAAAGGAAAUCCAUUGUAAGAUGAUAAUGCCUGUAUGCUACUUCCAAAAUGACCAUUUAGUGUAUUCCUCUUUGAUAUAUGCUCUUUGUGCACAUUGUGGCAUACCUUUGAGAUGUCAUGUGGGAAAUCCUGGGGCUUAUGUUUUUAAAAAAUUCUUUAUUUGAUAUUUUCAUUACAGCAGUAGCCCAUGCUUGUACAUAACAAGCAGUACUAUGGAACAAACAUACAUAAAAGACAAAGCUAAUUAUCCCACCUCUGUCCCAAUACCAUCCAUUUACUGCCGCUCCCCUGUUAUAUCUUGUUAGUACAUAUACAAAUAUAUAUUCAGAUAUGUUGGGGAUUUGCUAAUCUGUUAUCAUAUAAAUAUAACCAUGUUCCAUACAGUUCCAGGUUUUUGAGGAUUCCAUACUGUGUCCUGAUUUUCUUUUAAAUAUUCUCAGUCCAUGCAUUUCAACUUACUUUUUUCAAUCGACAGUUUAUCAUAGACUUCUCUGCAAGUUAGGGUACAUAUCUAUAACAAUAUUCUUUAAUUUCUUUGUACAUAAUCUCACUCUCUCAUACACACACAUUAUUUUACAUAGAAGAGUUCAUUCUGUGAAUACUUGGGUAUGUUCAUUUUGCUUAGACUUUCCAUUUUUUUAAUUUAUUUGCAUCCUCUCCCUCUCUCUUCCCCUUCUGCCCUAUUCAUCUGCCCUACCAUUUUCUCCUCCAGGGAAUUUGUAUGAACAACAUGAUGAAUAUUUUUUCAUGUUUUUCUCCUUUUCUUGUUUGUUUUAUAAAAAUGAGAUUAUAUUUUAUACUCUGCUCUCAUACUUAGUUUUCUCAUGCAAUAAAACUUCAUUGAAAUCCCUUUGUGUUGACUGGCACAUGCAGUCCUCUUUGUGGCUACAUAAUAUUUCACAGCGUGGAGGCAUGUAAUAUACUCACCUGUGCCUCUCUUAGUGGGUAUUCACUUCAGUUCAAAUUGUUGUUUUCACUAUGAAUGAUACUGCAAUGAACAUCAUUAUACAUAUACCCUGGGAAUUUUAUUUCUAGGAAAUAGAUUCCCACAAGGAUUAUAGGGUUUAAGACAUGUGCAUAAUUUUAUGUUUAAUGAAAAUUGCCAGAUUCUUUUCCAAAAGACUUCACAUUACCACCAGAAAUUUAUAAGAGUAAUUAUUUCCCCUAGUUCUAAUCAGAAAUAGGUGUUAUCACCUCUUUAAACUUUUGACCAUCUAAUGAAAAAGUGAGUACUUUAUUGUUAUUUUAAUUUGCAUUUCCCCGACCACUAGUGAGUCUAAGCAUCCUUGCAUAUAUUUUUUGACAUUUUGCAUUUGCUCUUCUAUAAAUGCAACAUAUUCUGCCCAUUUGGGGGCUUUGUGUAUAUGGUGGUGGUUUCAACCUUAGCAAGUUGUUGUAGUUCUUUCUGUAUUGUGUCUAUUUGCCCUUUUCUUGUCACAAGCACUGUGAAUAUGUUUUCCUCUUUCAUCACUUAUUUGUUGAAUUUGGAUUUGGUGUAAUUUGCCCUUCAAAUGUUUUUAAUUUUUUAGAUUGCCAAAUAUGUCUUUAUGAAAACUGGCAUCUGGAUCUCCUCUUAGUUGAGAAAGUCUUUCACUCUAAGUUCAUAUGUUGUUGCCUAGUAUUCUUGUAAGAUUUUUAUUGUUUUAUAAUUUAUGUGGUAUGACACAGAGUAUGGCUAUGUUUUUUUCCAGAUGGAUAACAGUCAUGCCAGCACCAUAUGGUGAUAAACUAUUCUUUUCUUCCAAAUGGAAAUACCCCCUUUGUCUUAUAUUAAAUUCACAUAUGUCCCGGGGUCUAUUUCUGGGUUCUGAUAUGUCCUAUAGACCUGACUGUCUGAUCCCAGACCAGAGCCACAGGGAGUUGAUCAUAGUGGCCUUGUGUUUGCAUUCUGCUAUCUCCUGAAGCAUAUUCUCUGUCACCAUUCAUUUUUAUAUGCCUUUUAUGUUCUUAAGCUUUAUUCUUCCAUAUGAGUUCUAAGAUAUUUUGAUCCAACAUUCCUCCCCCUUUUUAAAAAAUCAAAUAUGGUUAAAAUUUUAAUUGGAAUUGCAUUGACUUUACAUCUUCAGUUUGAGAGCUCUGUCAUUUAAAAAAUGUCUUCCCAUCCAAGAACAUGGUAAAUUGUUCCACUUGUUCAGAUCAUGUUUUACGUCCUUUGGUAAGAUUUUUACUUUUCUGCAUUUAGGUCCUAUGUCUUUUUAAAAAUAUGUGGCUACAUAGCUCCAAUAACAAAUGGUAUUAAUUUCUUUUAUAUUCAAUGCCCUUUGAAAUGCUAAAAAAACUCAGAAUACAGAUCAUAUAUAUGUUUUGUUAUAUACCUAAGUUUAAUUUUCUUUGGAAAUUGUAUUGUGUAUGUAAAAUUGAUUGUAAAUGAUAUUGUGUUUUAAAUGCCGUUGUCCAUGUUUUCACUGCUAACAUGUAGAAACGCAUUUGAGAUUUUUUGUGUGUACUGGUCUUGUA